rnacentral:rRNA from 1 species
GUUGAACGCUGGCGGCACGCCUUACACAUGCAAGUCGAACGGCAGCACGGGAGCAAUCCUGGUGGCGAGUGGCGAACGGGUGAGUAAUAUAUCGGAACGUGCCCAGUAGUGGGGGAUAACUGCUCGAAAGAGCAGCUAAUACCGCAUACGACCUGAGGGAGAAAGGGGGGGAUCGCAAGACCUCUCGCUAUUGGAGCGGCCGAUAUCAGAUUAGCUAGUUGGUGGGGUAAAGGCCUACCAAGGCAACGAUCUGUAGUUGGUCUGAGAGGACGACCAGGCACACUGGGACUGGGACACGGCCCAGACCCCUACGGGGGGCAGCAGUUGGGAAUUUUGGACAAGGGGGGCAAGCCUGAUCCAGCAAUGCCGCGGGCAGGAAGAAGGCCUUCGGGUUGUAAACUGCUUUUGUCAGGGAAGAAAUCCUCUAGGUUAAUCCCCUUGGGGGGAUGACGGUACCUGAAGAAUAAGCACCGGCUAACUACGUGCCAGCAGCCGCCGUAAUAC